rnacentral:ncRNA from 1 species
CAGGAUAAAAACGCAACGCGAGGCCUUCGGCCUUGCCAGAGCUGGUAGGUAGCCCAGCCGUCUGCACUUCGGCGCAGGUAAGUAACCCUCCCCUCCGGGUCGUCCGUUCCUGUGAAAAUA